CGGCUCUCAUCCCCAGUCCUCCACAGCUUCCGGGCGGUGGGCGUCGCUCUCAGCUGCCGCAACUAACUGCCGCCCUCGCCGCGGGGCUGCUCCGGGGAAGGACUGCAUAGGAGCUUCCGGACCUGGACAGUUCAGACCCACCCAACCUGGCCUGACAGCUGCAGGGCCAGACGCACCUUGAAGGACUGGAGUCAGGCAGAGUUCACCUGUGCAUCCUGAUUGCACCAGCUGGGGCUCCCAGCCCACCAAAGCAGCGGCACCUGUUGAUUGAGAGACAGCACGCACAAGGAGGGGGAGCGCCAGGCAGAGGGAGCAGCAGACUUCCUG